rnacentral:rRNA from 1 species
UACGUAGGGGGCAAGCGUUGUCCGGAUUUAUUGGGCGUAAAGGGCGCGUAGGCGGCCUGCUAAGUCGAACGUGAAAUCCCUGGGCUCAACCCAGGAACUGCGUCCGAUACUGGUUGGCUUGAAUCCGGGAGAGGGACGUGGAAUUCCAGGUGUAGCGGUGAAAUGCGUAGAGAUGUGGAGGAACACCGAUGGCGAAGGCAGCCCCCUGGGAUAACACUGACGCUCAGGCACGAAAGCGUGGGGAGCAAACAGG